UGGGAACAGAACAUCCCAGUGGCCCGAGUC
rnacentral:piRNA from 1 species